GUCUAUGGCCAUACCACCCUGAACGCACCUGAUCUUGUCUGAUCUCAGAAGAUAAGCAGGGUCGGGCCUGGUUAGUACUUGGAUGAGAGACUGCCUGGGAAUACCGGGUGCUGUAGGCC
ensembl:rRNA 5S_rRNA 5S ribosomal RNA